rnacentral:rRNA from 1 species
UAAUACGGAGGGUGCGAGCGUUGUCCGGAAUCACUGGGCGUAAAGGGCGCGUAGGCGGUCUGCUAAGCGUGUGGUGAAAGCUCGGGGCUCAACCCCGAGUCUGCCAUGCGAACUGGUGGACUUGAGCACUGUAGAGGCAGGUGGAAUUCCGGGUGUAGCGGUGGAAUGCGUAGAGAUCCGGAAGAACACCAGUGGCGAAGGCGGCCUGCUGGGCAGUUGCUGACGCUGAGGCGCGACAGCGUGGGGAGCAAACAGGAUUAGAUACCCUGGUAGUCCACGCCGUAAACGAUGGGAACUAGGUGCUUGGGGGAGCGACCCCCCGAGUGCCGGCGCUAACGCAUUAAGUUCCCCGCCUGGGGAGUACGGCCGCAAGGCUG